rnacentral:rRNA from 2 species
GCGAAAAACUUCACACUGCAGGAAACUGUGAUGAGGGAACUCCAAGUGCAUGCACUAUGUGCAUGCUUUUCUUAACUAUUAAUCGGUUUUGGAAUAAGGGCUGGGAAAGACCGGUGCCAGCCGCCGCGGUAAUACCGGCAGCUCAAGUGGUCGUCGCUUUUAUUGGGCCUAAAAACGUCCGUAGCCUGUUUGGUAAAUCUGUGGGUAAAUCAACCAGCUUAACUGGUUGAAUUCUGCAGAGACUGCCAGACUAGGGACCGGGAGAGGUGUGGGGUACUCUAGGGGUAGGGGUAAAAUACCUGUCAUCCUUAGAGGACCACCAGUUGCGAAGGCGCCACACUGGAACGGAUCCGACGGUCAGGGACGAAGCCUAGGGGCACGAACCGGAUUAGAUACCCGGGUAGUCCUAGGUGUAAACGGCUGUGAACUUGGUGUCGGGGAUCCGUAAUGGGUUCUCGGUGCCGGAGUGAAGAUGUU